rnacentral:rRNA from 1 species
GAUGAACGCUGGCGGCGUGCCUAAUACAUGCAAGUCGAGCGAACGGACGAGAAGCUUGCUUCUCUGAUGUUAGCGGCGGACGGGUGAGUAACACGUGGAUAACCUACCUAUAAGACUGGGAUAACUUCGGGAAACCGGAGCUAAUACCGGAUAAUAUUUUGAACCGCAUGGUUCAAAAGUGAAAGACGGUCUUGCUGUCACUUAUAGAUGGAUCCGCGCUGCAUUAGCUAGUUGGUAAGGUAACGGCUUACCAAGGCAACGAUGCAUAGCCGACCUGAGAGGGUGAUCGGCCACACUGGAAGUGAGACGCGGUCCAGACUCCUACGGGAGGCAGCAGUAGGGAAUCUUACGCAAUGGGCGAAAGCCUGACGGAGCAACGCCGCGUGAGUGAUGAAGGUCUUCGGAUCGUAAAACUCUGUUAUUAGGGAAGAACAUAUGUGUAAGUAACUGUGCACAUCUUGACGGUACCUAAUCAGAAAGCCACGGCUAACUACGUG